CGCCAUGACGGGCACCAGCGCCGCGCUGCCUGCGGGCGGGCGGGUCGCGGGGGCCGGGCCGGGCGGAGCGGGGCGGGGCGGCGGCGGGCCGUGCCGCGCGGUGUAUAAACACGUUUUUGUGUGCCUGGCUGUAUGUCUGAGUAAAGAGGUAUUCUCUUGAGGAGUCGCUCAACGCCUGGGCACGGCGUUGCUGGUUUUAUGCUCGUAGUAACGUGUUUUUAGAACCUGACUAAUUUAUGGGACCACCGGUUUAGUGCAGUGGGACUGUUUCCCAUGCGUUUGAGAGGGCGCAUGCUUAUGCUGCCAUUGUUCUUUCUAAAAUUGAAGAGCGUUUUCUUUCCUAAUAAAAUAAGAGUUCAGAGUAAUAGGAGAAAGGAUAUGUAGAGCCAGAUGUUGAAAGGUACUGCAUAGCGCCAACUUACAGUUCAGAAUUUGAUUUUUUUGUGGUGCUGAUGUUGGCACCAGCUCCAUUAAAAUGAUUUUCUAUUUUCUCAGCUGCCUCAACAUCGGCUGUAUCAACAGUGGGACAGUACAACAGAUCAACUGGCACCAUAACAGAAGACUUUAGCAAGCAAAUAAAACAACAGUUUUCCUCAAGCAAGCAUAGGAUGCUGUGCAGCUGCUGAACCUCUGCAAGUAGGGAGGGAAGGAGGCCUCUGAGCUGGGCUCUCUUCUGCCAUCAUGUGGAGGACGGGAGUCCUGAUGAGCCAGGAGACCGGAUCCACUAGAUGCUGGAGUGAGGGAAGGAGUAUGUUAUUUGCCGGAGAGAUCUUUGGUUGAUGGAGAAGGGCACUACUAUCUUAGAGGCUGUGGAUUGAUUCUCAUGGAUAUGUGGAGGAGGAAAAGGGUAACUACAGAAAAAGAAGCUGCUGUGCUGAAAUUGCUUCAGGCUAGCUCUUGGAAGGCUGUGAGGAAAGUUACACUGAUCAAGAUGGAAAGAAUGCCAGAAAAAACAAUAAAAGAUUGGAACAAUUGUGAAUCAUGCAAAGACAGAUCUCCUUCUCAGUCAUAGGUUUUGGGAAGACCUUACUGCUUAAAGUUUCAAAACAAAGCCUACAAAGCCGUGGAAAGAGAUGCUUAUGAAAUCAACAGGAAAUUUUAUCUGACACAGCAGUGGAUGAAUCCUUUCUGGAAGAACAGCCUUUAGUUAGAAGGAAAAACUGGAAAUGCUGGAAAGAGUAAAGGCAAAGAAGUUCCAUCUGGAAAAGUGGAUCACCAUCAUUUUCCUGCUUAUAAUGCUGAUCCAGAGCAUGGACAAAAAUACCAUGGAGGAAAAGACAGGAUGAGAGGCAUGAGAGACCCAUCUGCCAAGAGUGCAGUCUCACUGGAAGUGAGUUAAGAAGUGCUCACCAGGACCAAAAAGACCACUGGUGUCAUCUGAUUCAGUCCUCCUACUACCGUAAGUAACUGCACGUAAUAAGCACGUGGGCAUUUUAAGUAUCCAGAAGGGCAGUUGUCUUGAUUUUUAUAGGUGCGAGAAAGGAAAUGAGCCCCAGACUCUGAUUCUUGGCUGGCAUACUUAAGUAGGCUUUAUUCCACAAGGUGGGAAAAGACUAGAGGAAUGUCAAUGCGUUUUAGGACAGGGAGUUCCCCAAAAAAGGUGGGUAAAAGUGGGUUUCCAAGAAAGGGGAUGUUUCCUCUGGCAAGAGCAAAGGCAAUGGCUGGCAGACCUGAGGGUGAUGUUAAUGGGGUGGAGUUCUUUAUGGGAGCAGAUGCGAAGAGCAGGAGGAAAGAUUUUGCAUAGAAGAGCUGUAGUGCUCAGGGACUUGGAAGGUCUGUGGCAUGGCCAUGCUACUUUGCGUGGCAAGUUUCUUGUUCAAAAUGUCCAUAAAACACUUCCUUCAUAUUCCACCAGCUUAUAUUGUGCCAAUGCUUUACAACAAACAUAAGGCUUCUAGGAAAAGGCCAGAAAGCUAAAGGAUAAUGUGCUGCGGAGCAAGGGCACCAAGUCUCCAGGUUUCUGCUAUGGCAAGGAAUUCAUUAAAUUUGCAGCCAGUCUGUACCCCUUUGUUGUCCUGCCAGCAUUGUUUAGCUGCUCUCAGAAGAUGACAGGCUGUCCAUUCUCAGUGUAACCCUUCUCUGCAUCUU